rnacentral:rRNA from 1 species
AUUGAACGCUGGCGGAAUGCUUUACACAUGCAAGUCGAACGGCAGCACGGACUUCGGUCUGGUGGCGAGUGGCGAACGGGUGAGUAAUACAUCGGAACGUGCCCAGUCGUGGGGGAUAACGUAGCGAAAGCUACGCUAAUACCGCAUACGAUCUACGGAUGAAAGCGGGGGAUCGCAAGACCUCGCGCGAUUGGAGCGGCCGAUGGCAGAUUAGGUAGUUGGUGGGGUAAAGGCUCACCAAGCCGACGAUCUAUAGCUGGUCUGAGAGGAUGAUCAGCCACACUGGGACUGAGACACGGCCCAGACUCCUACGGGAGGCAGCAGUGGGGAAUUUUGGACAAUGGGCGCAAGCCUGAUCCAGCCAUUCCGCGUGCAGGACGAAGGCCUUCGGGUUGUAAACUGCUUUUGUACAGAACGAAAAGCUCUGGGUUAAUACCUCGGGGUCAUGACGGUACUGUAAGAAUAAGCACCGGCUAACUACGUG